AAUUGCACUCAUAUGGAAAACACCCAGCCAGCACAGGAAAGCACCGUUAUAGACAGCAAGCUCCGGCUCUCAGGACACGGGACAAACUGCAACCCCCACUCCAGGAAACUGAGAAGUGUGACUAUGUCUAUAAUAUGCCUAUAUGCGGAUGUGUCUAUAAUGGCCAUCAGCCCAGGCAUUCACAAAAGGCAAGCCUAGAACUUGGGUUAGGAUGAAAAGGCAGAGAAAUAUUCUUCGGGGCUCCCAAUGGGAGGAAAGGAAAAAAGUUCAGCCCCAAACUACAGUAGUCCAGAAGCGCACCACUGUAGUAAAACCAAGGGAAUAAAAACCCUGACCCCUCAAGAAUUCAUGAACCUCAACUACUCCUAUCAGAAGCUAUUUUUCCAUUUCUACUACAAGAAUUGCCUCAUAAAUGAAACAAUAAGAAAUCCAGAUCAGAGAUAGAACAGACCAGGAACAAGAGGCUCAGUGGGAGAUAUGGGGAAAACCAGCUCUUUGUGGAAACCCUGCAGGGGUCCUAAGAGGAGAGAUCAUAGAAGGAUCCAUACAAAGAGACUUGAUAUCUUCUAGCCUCUUCUUCCUAGCAGAUGAAAAAGAGGAUCUUGGAAUCAGAGAAACAUGCCACCUCUUAGAGCUCUUGCGUUUCACACUCUGCUCCAAUAUGUCGGGAGGUAAACCUGGGCUGCCAUGGUGAUAGAACUUUCUGGAACCAAUGAUGUAGCUGGAUCUGAAAUGGAAGCCGAAGCAGGAACCAACAGUGGAAUUGACAAUUGAGAUGAUACUGGAUCCAGUGUUAUAUGCAAGUCAAGCUCCCUCACUACUGAUGCUGAGGGCAGACUGUGAUGGUGC